GACGAACGCUGGCGGCGUGCUUAACACAUGCAAGUCGUGGGGGGGUAGCAAUACCUCACCGGCGAACGGGUGCGUAACACGUGAGCAACCUACCUCGAUGCGGGGGAUAGCCGGCCCAACGGCCGGGUAAUACCGCAUACGAUCGCUUGGGGGAGUCCCCGAGCGAAGAAACCCUUCGGGGGCAUUGAGAGGGGCUCGCGGCCUAUCAGCUAGUUGGCGAGGUAACGGCUCACCAAGGCGANGACGGGUAGCUGGUCUGAGAGGAUGGCCAGCCACAUUGGGACUGAGAGACGGCCCAGACUCCUACGGGAGGCAGCAGGUGGGGAAUAUUGGGCAAUGGAGGCAACUCUGACCCAGCCAUGCCG
rnacentral:rRNA from 1 species